rnacentral:rRNA from 1 species
UACGUAGGGUGCAAGCGUUGUCCGGAAUUAUUGGGCGUAAAGAGCUCGUAGGCGGUCUGUCGCGUCGGCUGUGAAAUCCCGGAGCUCAACUCCGGGUCUGCAGUCGAUACGGGCAAACUGGAGUACUGCAGGGGAGACUGGAAUUCACGGUGUAGCAGUGAAAUGCGUAGAUAUCGUGAGGAACACCAGAGGCGAAGGCGGCUACCUGGACAAUUGCUGACGCUCAGGUGCGAAAGCCAGGGGAGCGAACAGG